rnacentral:rRNA from 1 species
CUUUGCUGACGAGUGGCGGACGGGUGAGUAAUGUCUGGGAAACUGCCUGAUGGAGGGGGAUAACUACUGGAAACGGUAGCUAAUACCGCAUAACGUCGCAAGACCAAAGAGGGGGACCUUCGGGCCUCUUGCCAUCGGAUGUGCCCAGAUGGGAUUAGCUUGUUGGUGGGGUAACGGCUCACCAAGGCGACGAUCCCUAGCUGGUCUGAGAGGAUGACCAGCCACACUGGAACUGAGACACGGUCCAGACUCCUACGGGAGGCAGCAGUGGGGAAUAUUGCACAAUGGGCGCAAGCCUGAUGCAGCCAUGCCGCGUGUAUGAAGAAGGCCUUCGGGUUGUAAAGUACUUUCAGCGGGGAGGAAGGGAGUAAAGUUAAUACCUUUGCUCAUUGACGUUACCCGCAGAAGAAGCACCGGCUAACUCCGUGCCAGCAGCCGCGGUAAUACGGAGGGUGCAAGCGUUAAUCGGAAUUACUGGGCGUAAAGCGCACGCAGGCGGUUUGUUAAGUCAGAUGUGAAAUCCCCGGGCUCAACCUGGGAACUGCAUCUGAUACUGGCAAGCUUGAGUCUCGUAGAGGGGGGUAGAAUUCC